rnacentral:rRNA from 1 species
GAUGAUCGCUGGCGGCGUGUCUAAUACAUGCAAGUCGAGCGAACGGACGAGAAGCUUGCUUCUCUGAUGUUAGCGGCGGACGGGUGAGUAACACGUGGAUAACCUACCUAUAAGACUGGGAUAACUUCGGGAAACCGGAGCUAAUACCGGAUAAUAUUUUGAACCGCAUGGUUCAAAAGUGAAAGACGGUCUUGCUGUCACUUAUCGAUGGAUCCGCUCUGCAUUAGCUAGUUGGUAAGGUAACGGCUUACCAAGGCAACGAUGCAUAGCCGACCUAUGAGGAUGAUAGACACCAUUGGAACUGAGCCACAUUCCUGAAACCUGCAGGAGGCAGCGUUAGUGCAUCGUCCGCUCUGGGCGACAGCCUGCCGGUGCAACGCCGCGUGAGUCAUGAUGGUCUUCGGAUCGUAAGACUCUGUUAUGAGGCAUGAACAUAUGUGUAAGUUUCUGUGCACAUCUAGACGUUACCUUGUCAGAACGCCACGGCUAACUCCGUG